UCCAGAGUCCCUCCACACUUCAUCUUUACCGACUAAUCGUCCUCAUGGGAGUAUUAUGUCUGGUUUCAUGCUUGGGGCUUUGGGCUUUGGAGAUUACAGAUUACAGAGCUCCAGACUCAGCUCCACCACUGGUUCACAGGUCUCUAAACCAGAGGAAGCUAGUCUAAAUUCAGUGGAAGCCAGAGCUGGGAGGAGGAAAAAAUUGUCCCAGUGAAGAGCUUAGCUCCAACCCACAGAUCUCAGAUGAUAUCAGCAAUGCUGCCGAGUUAGAAGAGACCAAGCGAAAUAUGAUUACAUCGUGUUCUAAAAGCUGACAGCCAGUCUAAUAAAUCAGAACCAAAGUGGAGGGCA
rnacentral:lncRNA from 1 species